rnacentral:rRNA from 1 species
GAUGAACGCUGGCGGCGUGCCUAAUACACGCAAGUCGAGCGAACGGACGAGAAGCUUGCUUUUCUGAUGUUAGCGGCGGACGGGUGAGUAACACGUGGAUAACCUACCUAUAAGACUGGGAUAACUUCGGGAAACCGGAGCUAAUACCGGAUAAUAUUUUGAACCGCAUGGUUCAUAAGUGAAAGACGGUCUUGCUGUCACUUAUAGAUGGAUCCGCGCUGCAUUAGCUAGUUGGUAAGGUAACGGCUUACCAAGGCAACGAUGCAUAGCCGACCUGAGAGGGUGAUCGGCCACACUGGAACUGAGACACGGUCCAGACUCCUACGGGAGGCAGCAGUAGGGAAUCUUACGCAAUGGGCGAAAGCCUGACGGAGCAACGCCGCGUGAGUGAUGAAGGUCUUCGGAUCGUAAAACUCUGUUAUUAGGGAAGAACAUAUGUGUAAGUAACUGUGCACAUCUUGACGGUACCUAAUCAGAAAGCCACGGCUAACUACGUG